GACGAACGCUGGCGGCGUGCCUAAUACAUGCAAGUUGAGCGCUGAAGGUUGGUACUUGUACCGACUGGAUGAGCAGCGAACGGGUGAGUAACGCGUGGGGAAUCUGCCUUUGAGCGGGGGACAACAUUUGGAAACGAAUGCUAAUACCGCAUAAAAACUUUAAACACAAGUUUUAAGUUUGAAAGAUGCAAUUGCAUCACUCAAAGAUGAUCCCGCGUUGUAUUAGCUAGUUGGUGAGGUAAAGGCUCACCAAGGCGAUGAUACAUAGCCGACCUGAGAGGGUGAUCGGCCACAUUGGGACUGAGACACGGCCCAAACUCUUACGGGAGGCAGCAGUAGGGAAUCUUCGGCAAUGGACGAAAGUCUGACCGAGCAACGCCGCGUGAGUGAAGAAGGUUUUCGGAUCGUAAAACUCUGUUGGUAGAGAAGAACGUUGGUGAGAGUGGAAAGCUCAUCAAGUGACGGUAACUACCCAGAAAGGGACGGCUAACUACGU
rnacentral:rRNA from 1 species